rnacentral:rRNA from 1 species
GACGAACGCUGGCGGCGUGCUUAACACAUGCAAGUCGAACGAAGAGCGAUGGAAGCUUGCUUCUAUCAAUCUUAGUGGCGAACGGGUGAGUAACGCGUAAUCAACCUGCCCUUCAGAGGGGGACAACAGUUGGAAACGACUGCUAAUACCGCAUACGAUCUAAUCUCGGCAUCGAGGAUAGAUGAAAGGUGGCCUCUACAUGUAAGCUAUCACUGAAGGAGGGGAUUGCGUCUGAUUAGCUAGUUGGAGGGGUAACGGCCCACCAAGGCGAUGAUCAGUAGCCGGUCUGAGAGGAUGAACGGCCACAUUGGGACUGAGACACGGCCCAGACUCCUACGGGAGGCAGCAGUGGGGAAUCUUCCGCAAUGGACGAAGGUCUGACGGAGCAACGCCGCGUGAGUGAUGACGGCCUUCGGGUUGUAAAGCUCUGUUAAUCGGGACGAAAGGCCUUCUUGCGAAUAGUGAGAAGGAUUGACGGUACCGGAAUAGAAAGCCACGGCUAACUACGUG